rnacentral:rRNA from 1 species
CCUACGGGAUGCAGCAGUGAGGAAUAUUGGUCAAUGGACGGAAGUCUGAACCAGCCAUGCCGCGUGCAGGAUGACUGCUCUAUGAGUUGUAAACUGCUUUUAUACAAGAGUAAACCUGAACACGUGUAUCUAGUUGAAUGUACUUUAUGAAUAAGGAUCGGCUAACUCCGUGCCAGCAGCCGCGGUAAUACGGAGGAUCCAAGCGUUAUCCGGAUUUAUUGGGUUUAAAGGGAGCGUAGAUGGGUUGUUAAGUCAGUUGUGAAAGUUUGCGGCUCAACCGUAAAAUUGCAAUUGAUACUGGCAGUCUUGAGUACAGUUGAGGUAGGCGGAAUUCGUGGUGUAGCGGUGAAAUGCUUAGAUAUCACGAAGAACCCCGAUUGCGAAGGCAGCCUACUAAACUGUCACUGACAUUGAUGCUCGAAAGUGUGGGUAUCAAACAGGAUUAGAUACCCCGGUAGUC